UACGAAGGGGGCUAGCGUUGUUCGGAUUUACUGGGCGUAAAGCGCACGUAGGCGGAUCGUUAAGUCGGGGGUGAAAUCCUGGAGCUCAACUCCAGAACUGCCUUCGAUACUGGCGAUCUAGAGUCCGGAAGAGGUGAGUGGAACUCCUAGUGUAGAGGUGGAAUUCGUAGAUAUUCGCAAGAACACCAGUGGCGAAGGCGGCUUACUGGUCCGGUUCUGACGCUGAGGCGCGAAAGCGUGGGGAGCAAACAGG
rnacentral:rRNA from 1 species